UCCGGGUCGGACCUUUGCGCGUGGACAGGUAACGCGGUUUGUCUGUUCACCUGCUGCUUUUAGCUCAUGUGGCAGGGACUUAAUAUUUGUGUGUCAUGCAGAGCGGCUGACUUGGGGCUUCCAGAGACUCCUGUGUGUGUGUCACCUAGAUGGCCUGCUGCGGUGAACGCCAGUAGCUGCGCGAUUAUCUCCCUCUUUCUUUGGUGUGUCAUAUCCAGCCAACCCUGCUAACGAUCCCAGCUGCCCAAGACUGUAUGAGCGUCGUUUGCCGAACCAUGCGCGAGUGACUUCGGCAUCAGCUGAUCGUGUGCGCCAGAGUUAAAGGGACACAUCGCCACAGCUACAGGGGGCUACUGCUGUUUUGUCUUCGUACCACGCUUUGUCUUACCGCUUUGUCUCCACUCUUUUUGUCUGCAGCUGUGACCACUGCUUUGUUUGCAGCUCUGUUCUCCUUAUUUUAUGUGUUGCUUUUGGUGCAAUGCUUUCUGUUUUGCACCAAGGUUUUAAUUGGCAUUUAACGCACCUAUUUUAAUGUAGUGACUGAAUAGUGGGGUUAGAUCCCCUCCACAUUUUCUCUCAUUUUUGUGUUCAUUACUUUAUUCAUUUUCUGUUUGCUUACUUAGUUAUUUAAUUUCUUUGGUUUUGAUAUUUUGGUUGGGCAAAGGGCUAUUCUUCCAGUAUUUGUCCUUAUUUCUUUCAUUUGUGGUUGGUAGUUUGUAUUGUUUAGUUGCUGAUUUGUAUAUAAGUUUUGGAUAUUUCUGUUCAUUGAAUUUUGUUGUGACCCCACUAAUUUCCUUUUGUUUUCCUCUUUAGUUGCUGAGGUCCGGUGGUGGUGGUGGUGGUAUCCUGGUGGCGGGGUCCCCCCCUUCUCGUGUGCUGUGCUUCCCUGGGUUCUGGGUCUCCUCACUGAGUGUAUGCUGUGUGUGGCUGUCACGUGUGCCUGGGUGUUUAUAUUUUUGGUUGGGGAUUCUCUGCACCAGUCAGUAGCCCACGCACCCCGGUAAGCCUCAGCUUUGAAUUAGUUCCCCUUGUUGAUUUGUCCUCGUGUGAGUGGUGUUUUAAGUGUUUUAAAUUGAUUUGUCAAAAUAAAGAACAUGCAUGUCUGAUUGGAACGUGUCUACCGUUUUGAGUAAAACGAACUGCGUGCUUUAAAGAUGAGCUUUGUCGAAACUUACUUCCUGGGGUGAAAUUCCCCAGGUGGCGUUGUCGGUUUAGUGUACAAUCUGACCAGAAACUCUUAUACUUCUACUCCAACCCAAUCCCGUGUCACCCUCACU